CCGGCGGCCGCCGUGGCCGUGGCUACGCCGCGCCUUCCGCCCAGGAGCUGCCUCCUCUUGAUCGCGCCCUUGCGCACCGCACCCACAGGCCGCGGGACCCCGGGGCACCCGUGCGCUGGAGCCUCCGCCGUACGAUCCGGACUCCCAGAGCUAGAUGCUGGGAGGGGUCGGCUAGCCCAGCGCUCCGCUCCCGCUGGGAAUGGGCUACUUUGGACACCUGCGGCCGCCCUGUAACAGGGACUUUCCCAGCGAUUGCAACCUUAGCCGGCUGGGAGGGAGAGGAGAGCAGCGGCGCUUCUUCCCACUCCCAGGCUCGCAGCUAUAGCGGAGGCGCCUACCCCAAGUACGGAAAGGGCGGGAGCCCCUCGGGGACCUAGAGAAACCCGGAUCUCCUAUUGCCACCGGUACCCUGGGCGAGCCUACACUUAAACUGAGAGUGUACGGGGACGUUUCCGCCGUCUUCCCGAAGACCCUUCCGCCACUACGCCUGCUUGAGCAAGCCGUGUGGUCUGAAGCCCAGUCUGCCACUUCCCCGCCCUCCCUUCUUCCACUCACCUCUGUUUCUCUUACCUUUUUUUUCCCCAAAGCUCCAAAGCCAAGAUGGACAUGAGUGAACAAGUUAGGAUACAGCAGAGAGUGUGCAUUGAGAGGGUGGUGAAGAGGUGGGUGAAGAUAAUGAAAAUAAAAAU
rnacentral:lncRNA from 1 species